rnacentral:rRNA from 1 species
GAUGAACGCUGGCGGCGUGCCUAAUACAUGCCAGUCGAGCGAACGGACGAGAAGCUUGCUUUUCUGAUGUUAGCGGCGGACGGGUGAGUAACACGUGGAUAACCUACCUAUAAGACUGGGAUAACUUCGGGAAACCGGAGCUAAUACCGGAUAAUAUUUUGAACCGCAUGGUUCAAAAGUGAAAGACGGUCUUGCUGUCACUUAUAGAUGGAUCCGCGCUGCAUUAGCUAGUUGGUAAGGUAACGGCUUACCAAGGCAACGAUGCAUAGCCGACCUGAGAGGGUGAUCGGCCACACUGGAACUGAGACACGGUUCAGACUCCUACGGGAGGCAGCAGUAGGGAAUCUUCCGCAAUGGGCGAAAGCCUGACGGAGCAACGCCGCGUGAGUGAUGAAGGUCUUCGGAUCGUAAAACUCUGUUAUUAGGGAAGAACAUAUGUGUAAGUAACUGUGCACAUCUUGACGGUACCUAAUCAGAAAGCCACGGCUAACUACGUG